rnacentral:rRNA from 1 species
CAGUGCCGCGGUAAUACGGAGGGUGCAAGCGUUAAUCGGAAUUACUGGGCGUAAAGCGCACGCAGGCGGUCUGACAAGUCAGAUGUGAAAUCCCCGGGCUUAACCUGGGAACUGCAUUUGAAACUGUCAGGCUGGAGUCUUGUAGAGGGGGGUAGAAUUCCAGGUGUAGCGGUGAAAUGCGUAGAGAUCUGGAGGAAUACCGGUGGCGAAGGCGGCCCCCUGGACAAAGACUGACGCUCAGGUGCGAAAGCGUGGGGAGCAAACAGGAUUAGAUACCCCGGUAGUCCCUGUCUCUUAUACA